UGCAGCAUGAAAGGAAGACUUAUGAUUUACUAGUUUAACAACUGGGAGAAGAGGAUGAUGCAAGGACACUUUAUAUAGAGAACUGGAUAAAGAAAUUUCAACAGCAUGAAACACAGCAAUUCUGCAAAGCAUGGAGUUGUUUCAAUAGCACUUGCUUUACCAUCAUAAGGCAAAGGCAAAUCAGCAGAAGAGCAAAGGGCAAACUCUUUUUCUAAAGGUUUGCUUGCUUGUCAUGAUUUUUCGUCUAUGUGAAGACACAUCCUGUCAUUGCAAAGGCUCACCACAUUUUAACAAAGGUAAUGUAGGCUGCAACUGAAGGUUCUCAAAGUGGUGCGGCCAAUAGAUUGAUCAGCUCAGCGACUUUCGGGGAGGCCCUUCCAGGGGAAGGAGGUUUGAUGACCUGAUGCUCGAGCAGCUGCCGAAGUUAGGAAAGCCAAAGUUUGGAAAAAAGCUGCUGCCAAAGGUUUUGCUGGUGCAACCAACUUGUGUUCCCACUCCACUGUGCCUAUUCUAAACCAGCUUCUGAACAUGAUCAACACCGGAAACAGCCCCACUGCAAUUGAUUCUAAUGAGGCUGAUUCAAAUCAUUCAGCCUCUGAUAUUAAUGCAUCAAAAUGGAAUGGAUCUGCUAAAACUCAUGAUGAUAAAGUUCCCAUUGGAUUGGGCAGCGGUUUGGCAUCUCUGGACUCGAAGAAGCUAAAGCAAACAUCAAAAUCAAUGGAUUUGAAGAAACAACAGGCAAUGCUUUUCAACUGUUGGAAAUCUUUGAUGUGCUACAGUUUUGGACCUCAAUCAGGCAUUCAAGCUGCCAGCAGAGGACAUUCCUAUUUCCUCUAGAUUAUUCUGUUCAUGAUCAUUAGGUGACCAAGCCUCUAAUAAAAGAGAGCAAGAUUGAUUUCAAUUGAAAAAACAAAAGGAAAUGAAAUACAACUAUACAGUCACCAUUUUCUUCAAGUUUCCAUAUUUCAUUUAAUCAGCAUAAUAAUGCA